rnacentral:rRNA from 1 species
UCUGGGUCCAACCUCCCACCCGUGUUUAUUUUACCUUGUUGCUUCGGCGGGCCCGCCUUAACUGGCCGCCGGGGGGCUUACGCCCCCGGGCCCGCGCCCGCCGAAGACACCCUCGAACUCUGUCUGAAGAUUGUAGUCUGAGUGAAAAUAUAAAUUAUUUAAAACUUUCAACAACGGAUCUCUUGGUUCCGGCAUCGAUGAAGAACGCAGCGAAAUGCGAUACGUAAUGUGAAUUGCAAAUUCAGUGAAUCAUCGAGUCUUUGAACGCACAUUGCGCCCCCUGGUAUUCCGGGGGGCAUGCCUGUCCGAGCGUCAUUUCUGCCCUCAAGCACGGCUUGUGUGUUGGGCCCCGUCCUCCGAUCCCGGGGGACGGGCCCGAAAGGCAGCGGCGGCACCGCGUCCGGUCCUCGAGCGUAUGGGGCUUUGUCACCCGCUCUGUAGGCCCGGCCGGCGCUUGCCGAUCAACCCAAAUUUUUAUCCAGGUUGACCUCGGAUCAGGUAGGGAUACCCGCUGAACUUAAGCAUAUCAAUAAGCGGAGGAA